UCUUCCUACGGGACGCAGCAGUGAGGAAUAUUGGUCAAUGGGCGAGAGCCUGAACCAGCCAAGUCGCGUGAGGGAGUACUGCCCUAUGGGUUGUAAACCUCUUUUGUCGGGGAGCAAAAGACGCCACGCGUGGCGUUCCGAGAGUACCCGAAGAAAAAGCAUCGGCUAACUCCGUGCCAGCAGCCGCGGUAAUACGGAGGAUGCGAGCGUUAUCCGGAUUUAUUGGGGUUAAAGGGUGCGCAGGCGGAAGAUCAAGUCAGCGGUAAAAUUGAGAGGCUCAACCUCUUCGAGCCGUUGAAACUGGU
rnacentral:rRNA from 1 species